rnacentral:rRNA from 1 species
UACAGCCAUAUCACAUUGAAACACCGGUUCCAUAUGAUUACCAAAGUUAAGCAACAUCGAGCCUGGUCAGUACCUAGAUGAGUGACCGCUUGGGAAUACCAGGUGCU